AGCUUGUGUGCAGUCGUUUGGUGAAAAUUGCCAGUAUCCCUGUAGCCAACACUGCUAUAACAAGGAAUGUGACAGAUUUAACGGAACUUGUCUUACUGGCUGUACACAUGGAUUCCAUGGACAAAAAUGUAACAAAGAUAUCCAAAUGAUGAAGCAGGAAUGUUCAUAUUCUGGUUGGAUUGUUUGGUUUUCUAUUUCUCUUGCAUUUAACACCGUUUUAUUGACUGGGAUAUGCGUGAUGUGCAG